GUGUGAAUCACCUGGGGAACCUUGUUAAAAUGCAGAUUUUGAUUCAGUAUGUCUGGCUGAGGCCUGAGAUUCUACGUUUCUAACAAGCUCCCAGGGGAUGUGACU
rnacentral:pre_miRNA from 1 species